rnacentral:rRNA from 1 species
UACGUAGGGUGCGAGCGUUAAUCGGAAUUACUGGGCGUAAAGCGUGCGCAGGCGGUCUGUUAAGACCGAUGUGAAAUCCCCGGGCUUAACCUGGGAACUGCAUUGGUGACUGGCAGGCUUUGAGUGUGGCAGAGGGAGGUAGAAUUCCACGUGUAGCAGUGAAAUGCGUAGAGAUGUGGAGGAGUACCGAUGGCGAAGGCAGCCUCCUGGGCCAACACUGACGCUCAUGCACGAAGGCGUGGGGAGCAAACAGG